rnacentral:tRNA from 1 species
UGCUUUAUAGUUUAUUAUAAAAUAUAGAUUUUGUAAAUCUAAGAUAGAGAAGCAG